rnacentral:misc_RNA from 1 species
GAUGAAGAACGCAGCGAAAUGCGAUAAGUAAUGUGAAUUGCAGAAUUCAGUGAAUCAUCGAAUCUUUGAACGCACCUUGCGCUCCUUGGUAUUCCGAGGAGCAUGCCUGUUUGAGUGUCAUGAAAUUCUCAACCUUUUCAGCUUUCUUUGUUGAUCAGGCUUGGAUGUGGGAGUAUGCGGGCUUCUCAGAAGUCGGCUCUCCUGAAAUGCAUUAGCGGGACCUUUGUUGCCUGGCUUUGGUGUGAUAAUUAUCUACGCCAUUGUGGUCAAGCAGCUUAAAAUGAGGUUUCAGCUUCUAACCGUCUCCCCUGAGACAACUUUUUGACAAUUUGACCUCAAGUCAGGUAGGACUACCCGCUGAACUUAAGCAUAUCAAUAAGCGGAGGA